GACGAAGGAUGCAAGCGUUAUCCGGAUUCAUUGGGUUUAAAGGGCGCGUAGGCGGUCUUGUAAGUCAGUGGUGAAAUCUUUGGGCUUAACCCAGAAACUGCCAUUGAUACUGCAGGACUUGAGUACAGAUGCUGUGGGCGGAAUAUGACAUGUAGUGGUGAAAUACAUAGAGAUGUCAUAGAACACUGAUUGCGAAGGCAGCUCACAAAACUGUAACUGACGCUGAGGCUCGAAAGUGUGGGGAUCAAACAGG
rnacentral:rRNA from 1 species